rnacentral:rRNA from 1 species
UAGAGUUUGAUCCUGGCUCAGAACGAACGCUGGCGGCGUGGAUAAGGCAUGCAAGUCGAACGGGCUUUAACGGGUGGUAACAUCUGUUAAGGCUAGUGGCGAACGGGUGAGUAACACGUGGGCAAUCUGCCUCGAAGUGGGGGAUAACAUCGGGAAACCGGUGCUAAUACCGCGUAAUAUCCAGGGAUCGCAUGUUUCCUGGAUCAAAGGUGGGGAUCUUUCGGGACCUACCGCUUUGAGAGGAGCCCGCGGUCGAUUAGCUUGUUGGUGAGGUAAUGGCUCACCAAGGCAAUGAUCGAUAGCCGACCUGAGAGGGUGACCGGCCACACUGGGACUGAGAUACGGCCCAGACUCCUACGGGGGGCAGCAGUCUAGAAGCUUCGGCAAUGGGGGAAACCCUGACCGAGCGACGCCGCGUGCAGGAUGAAGGUCUUCGGAUCGUAAACUGCUUUCGCUGGGGGAGAAAUGCCUGGAGGUGAAUAAUCUUCAGGUUAGACGGUACCCAGUAAAGAAGCCCCGGCUAAGUCCGUGCCAGCAGCCGCGGUAAUACGGGCGGGGCGAGCGUUGUUCGGAUUCAUUGGGUGUAAAGGGUGCGAAGGCGGUCGUCUAAGUCGAAGGUGAAAUGUCUACGGCUCAACCGAGGCAUUGCCUCCGAUACUGGACGACUUGAGUGCGGAAGGGGAGCGUGGAAUUCCUGGUGUAGCGGUGAAAUGCGUAGAUAUCAGGAGGAACACCGGUGGCGAAGGCGACGCUCUGGUCCGCAACUGACGCUCAUGCACGAAAGCCAGGGGAGCGAACGGGAUUAGAUACCCGGUAGUCCUGGCCGUAAACGUUGGGCACUAGGUGCGGGAGGUAUCGACCCCUUCCGUGCCGUAGCUAACGCAUUAAGUGCCUCACCUGGGGAGUACGACCGCAAGGUUGAAACUCAAAGGAAUUGACGGGGGCCCGCACAAGCGGUGGAGUAUGCGGUUUAAUUCGAGGCAACGCGAAGAACCUUACCCGGGCUUGACAUCACCGAAAGGAUCCAUGCUCACUGGAAACAGUGAGAUUAGGAAGACAGGUGUUGCAUGGCUGUCGUCAGCUCGUGUCGUGAGAUGUUGGGUUAAGUCCCGCAACGAGCGCAACCCCUAUCGUCAGUUACCAGCGGUUCGGCCGGGGACUCUGACGAAACUGCCGCCGACAAGGUGGAGGAAGGUGGGGAUGACGUCAAGUCAGCAUGGCCCUUACGUCCGGGGCUACACGCGUACUACAAUGGCUGGUACAAUGGGGUGCAAUACCGCAAGGUGGAGCGAAUCCUCAAAACCAGCCCUAGUUCAGAUUGGGGUCUGCAACUCGACCCCAUGAAGGCGGAAUCGCUAGUAAUCGUAGAUCAGCACGCUACGGUGAAUACGUUCCCGGGCCUUGUACACACCGCCCGUC